UAUGUGAUCGUCUCUCGCAUAUCAAUAAGCGGAGGAAAAGAAACUAACAAGGAUUCCCCUAGUAACGGCGAGUGAAGCGGGAAGAGCUCAAAUUUGAAAUCUUAAAGGGUUUCCCUUUACGAAUUGUAGUUUAAAGAAGUGUUUUCUGUUGAGGUUUUGGUAAAAGUUCUUUGGAAUAGGACAUCAUAGAGGGUGAGAAUCCCGUAUUUGACCUUUACUUUCAACUUUGUGAUACACUUUCAAAGAGUCGGAUUGUUUGGGAAUGCAGUCCCAAAAUGGGUGGUAAAUUUCAUCUAAAGCUAAAUAUUGGCGAGAGACCGAUAGCGAACAAGUACCGUGAGGGAAAGAUGAAAAGAACUUUGAAAAGAGAGUUAAACAGUACGUGAAAUUGUCAAAAGGGAAGCGUUUGACACCAGUGUUGUUUUUCUGAAAAUCAAUUAAAGAACUGUUUAUGCUAAGUUGUUUAGACUUUAUCAGCUAUCUGCUUAGUUUUGAGCUUUUCUUUAAUGCACUUUUCAGUUAACAAGUCAACAUCAAUUUCUUUUGCUGUAAAAAAGCUUGAGGAAGGUGGCUUGAGAUUCGUCUUAAGUGUUUAUAGCCUCUUGCCUAUGCAGUCGGAGAGAUUGAGGUCUGCAGCGUAGAUCCUUCGGGGCUAAAUGCAUUUGUGCUAAGUUAUAGCAUUUUAUAGACAACUUGUUGACUAUGAUUUGUCUUGUAGCUUACUCGCUUAUGUUAUUUUACCUACGCUUAGGAUGUUGAUCUACAGAGCGAGAGU
rnacentral:rRNA from 1 species